rnacentral:rRNA from 1 species
GACGAACGCUGGCGGCGUGCUUAACACAUGCAAGUCGAACGGAAAGGCCCUGCUUUUGUGGGGUGCUCGAGUGGCGAACGGGUGAGUAACAUGUGAGUAACCUGCCCUUGACUUUGGGAUAACUUCAGGAAACUGGGGCUAAUACCGGAUAGGAGCUCCUGCUGCAUGGUGGGGGUUGGAAAGUUUCGGCGGUUGGGGAUGGACUCGCGGCUUAUCAGCUUGUUGGUGGGGUAGUGGCUUACCAAGGCUUUGACGGGUAGCCGGCCUGAGAGGGUGACCGGCCACAUUGGGACUACGAUACGGCCCAGACUCCUACGGGAGGCAGAAGGGGGGAAUAUGGCACAAUGGGCGGAAGCCUGAGGCAGCAACGCCGCGUGCGGGAUGACGGCCUUCGGGUUGUAAACCGCUUUCGCCUGUGACGAAGCGUGAGUGACGGUAAUGGGUAAAGAAGCACCGGCUAACUACGUG